rnacentral:sRNA from 1 species
GGCUAGCCCUGACAGAAGCGGCAUCCUUUUUAUCCACUUUUUUGCGGAUGAAAAGAUAUAGCGAAUGGCAGGAACGUCU